rnacentral:rRNA from 1 species
GAUGAACGCUAGCUACAGGCUUAACACAUGCAAGUCGAGGGGCAGCAUGAAGUUUGCUUGCAAACUUUGAUGGCGACCGGCGGACGGGUGAGUAACGCGUGAGGAACCUGCCUUGGAGAGGGGGACAACAGCUGGAAACGGCUGCUAAUACCGCAUGAUGCAUUGGAGUCGCAUGGCUCUGAUGCCAAAGAUUUAUCGCUCUGAGAUGGCCUCGCGUCUGAUUAGCUAGUUGGUGGGGUAAUGGCUCACCAAGGCGACGAUCAGUAGCCGGACUGAGAGGUUGAACGGCCACAUUGGGACUGAGAUACGGCCCAGACUCC